rnacentral:rRNA from 1 species
GACGAACGCUGGCGGCGUGCCUAAUACAUGCAAGUCGAACGCAGUGGGGACGGGUGAGUAACACGUGGGUAACCUCCCAUCAGAGGGGAUAACACUUGGAAACAGGUGCUAAACCGAUACUGAUGGAUGGACCCGCGGUGCAUUAGCUAGUUGGUGAGGUAACGGCUCACCAAGGCCACGAUGCAUAGCAGACUUGAGAGAGUGACCGGCACCCAUGGGACGGAGAAACGGCCCAGACGCCUACGGGAGGCAGCAGUAGGGAAUCUGCGGCAAUGGACGAAAGUCUGACCGUGCAACGCCGCGUGAGGGAAGAAGGUUUGCGGAUCGUAAAACCCUGUUGUUAGGGAAGCGGUAUCUAACCAGAAAGCCACGGCUAACUACGUGCAAGCGCCCGCGGUAAUC